GGAAGCGGAAAGGGCACUGGUGGCCCUCCCGGACUUCAAAUCCGGUGCACUGGGUGAAGAGCUCGGUGGGUGGGUUCGAUUCCCAUGCGCUUCCGCCA
rnacentral:tRNA from 1 species